AAACGACUCUCGGCAACGGAUAUCUCGGCCCUCGCAUCGAUGAAGAACGUAGCGAAAUGCGAUACCUGGUGUGAAUUGCAGAAUCCCGUGAACCAUCGAGUCUUUGAACGCAAGUUGCGCCUGAAGCCUUAUGGCUGAGGGCACGCCUGCCUGGGUGUCACUCA
rnacentral:rRNA from 6 species